GCAAUUUCUGCUUCUCCUCCGGCCUGUGAGGGAGGUGAGGUCAUGCUCAUGUUCCAGACUAAGGCUCCUGCUCACGUCUGAAGUUGCUAAAAGAGGGAUGAAAUGUUCAACUCCGUCACGAGAGGCAGAGCUUCAGGGGGACAUCACCCACACCGAACACCAGCCAACAGCUGAGUCUGGGUUCUCCGCACAUGUCCCUUGCCACCUUCUGGCUCUUUGAGAACCUCAUCUUCACCUCCGUGUCCAGACCCCUGGGCUGCCUGGAGCUUUGAGGCCUCCAUGGAUCCACUCCAGAAACACAGCUCAACGUUGAUUUCUGCAUCUUCCCCGAUGAUCUCUGGAGAAGAGACAUCUCGCGAAGUCACAGCAGCCUCUCAUCCUUCCUUCUCAAAACAGCUAAUGAUGAGCCUCAGUGUCUGGAACCCGAGUCCUGGCUCCACCUACCCUGCCUCUCUAGCAGAGAGACUGCUCCAGCAGCGGUACAGAGAUGAGAAAACCUGGUGAGAGAGGCAGUGGGAAAGAUACAUGGAAAAAGAAAAAGAAAACACAAUCUCAUCCCACGUGACAGAGCUCUGGAUGGAUUCACACAGACGCUGGUGCUGAAGGGCCUGGGUGUGGAUUCUUUUCGGGGAUCAAACAGUUGCCCCGGAGCUGUGCAGCCGCAAACAUAUAGGAGUCUUCUGCAGACAGAGGGGCUUGAGAACAGGUACAUUUACUAGACUCUGAACUUGUGAUCUCAUCAGAGAGCGUGGAAGCCCCAUGGACCCUGCCAGGCUCGUCUCGCAGCCACAGGGAAGGAGACCCAUCAUUGAGCAAGAUUUCCAUCCCGGUUUAUGAGGUGGUGGGACAGCAGACUACAGAGCAGGCAGGGCCUGGGCGCAGCUGGCAGAGGUGAGAAAGUGCUGGCCUCACUCCAGCAGCCACACCAGGCUUCCUUUUCUGGCUCUGGUAACCUUUUCCUGAAGCCCAGCUCCAGGACUCAGGGUUUGAAGAGAAGGUCUGUGUCCUUAAAAGAGGAGCCUGGCAUCGCCUGUGGAGGCAAGGACGGCCCUGAGGGACCCUGCUCACCUCAGCGACAACCCUCAUCAGCUCCUGCACCCCCUUCAAGUCCUGCUUAAAGUGAAGGCCUGUGUCCUUAAAGGAGGAGCCUGGCAUCGCCUGUGGAGGCAAGGACGGCCCUGAGGGACCCUGCUCACCUCAGUGACAACCCUCAUCAGCUCCUGCACCCCUGAGAAGACAGGAGCAAUGAGGGGUGACUUCUCAGAGCUCCCCAAACUCAAUGGACCUGGUUUUGCCCUGACAUCUCUGCUGCUCCUGGGCGUAUCUGCUCCUGACUGCAGCCAGCCCCGCCUGUGCUCAGGGUCCCAUGGGUCCCACCUGCUCGGGGACUUUGCUUCUGCACCUAUCAUCACUCCUCUGUCUUGAACUGUCACUGAGGAGGAACAGAGAGGUCAUCAUCCUGCUUGACUUCACUAGCUAGGGUGUCUCUUACUCCGUACGGAACGUCGUCGCAGAAAAUUGAUACGUAGUUGGGUUUCCGGCCUUCUGUCGCUCUGGCCGGCAGAGGGCAGUGUUGCAUCGUGCACGCAGCAGGCCGCCUCCUGCCCCGCCCCUCGUCAUUCAAAAAACUCGCCGGAGUGUUUACAUCAGUGUCGUCCCUCGCCACU